GCUUGAACUUCCCCUGGUGUAGCAUGAGGCUAUGUGCUCUCAUCCUGUCACUAAUUUCCUCAGAGAAGAGGCCUACCCCCAUCUUGCUACAAUCUCCUUUCAGAUUUGGAUUUGCCCCAUCUCUGGACAAUGAAGAGGUGUGAAGGCCCCCUUUUUGUCACGCGUCUCACUGGACACCACAAAUAUGCUUUAGGCACAAUUCUUGCACCAGGAUUCAUUAGCUGUUCUCCUAGAAAACCUGCUGAUUUCAUUCAGUCUGCAGAAGUGUGAAGGAAUAUGUACUCAGAGGUCUGCAGUAGGAUCAUCUGAGCCCUCCUGUAGUGAAAAAAUGCCAGCACACAGCAGAAUGGAAGGAAGUUUGAGGUCACAAGAAAAGUCCACAUCAGCCAAAGAAGUGGGGAGCAGUGGGGCUGGAUAAUGGAAUAAAGCUCUGGGAGAAGAAUCUUCGGCAGUGGGAUCUCUUGGGGAAACAGACACAACCAAAAUCCUCAUAAGAGCUGCAGCCCAGGAACUGCUCACACAGGACACUAUUUUCAAUCUAAAACUCCUUUCAACAAAUUUUCUUU